rnacentral:rRNA from 1 species
CCUACGGGAGGCAGCAGUAGUGAAUUUUGCGCAAUGGGCGAAAGCCUGACGCAGCAACGCCGCGUGAUUGAUUAAGCCCUUCGGGGUGUAAAGAUCUGUCAGUGGGGACGAAACUUGACGGUACCCACAGAGGAAGCACCGGCUAACUCCGUGCCAGCAGCCGCGGUAAUACGGAGGGUGCAAGCGUUGUCCGGAAUCAUGGGGCGUAAAGAGUUCGUAGGUGGCAUUUUAAGUCUGGUGUUAAAUGCAGAAGCUCAACUUCUGUUCGGCACUGGAUACUGGUAAGCUUGAAUGCGGUAGAGGCAGAGGGAAUGCGGGGUGGAGCGGGGAAAUGCGUAGAUAUGAGGAGGAAGAGCAGGGGCGAAGGCGCUUGGCUGGGC